UACGAAGGGGGCUAGCGUUGCUCGGAAUCACUGGGCGUAAAAGGGUGCGUAGGCGGGUCCUUAAGUCAGGGGUGAAAUCCUGGAGCUCAACUCCAGAACUGCCUUUGAUACUGAAGAUCUUGAGUUCGGGAGAGGUGAGUGGAACUGCGAGUGUAGAGGUGAAAUUCGUAGAUAUUCGCAAGAACACCAGUGGCGAAGGCGGCUCACUGGCCCGAUACUGACGCUGAGGCACGAAAGCGUGGGGAGCAAACAGGG
rnacentral:rRNA from 1 species